AGUGAACGCUGGCGGUAGGCCUAACACAUGCAAGUCGAACGGCAGCACAGUAAGAGCUUGCUCUUACGGGUGGCGAGUGGCGGACGGGUGAGGAAUACAUCGGAAUCUACUUUUUCGUGGGGGAUAACGUAGGGAAACUUACGCUAAUAUCGCAUACGACCUACGGGUGAAAGCAGGGGAUCUUCGGACCUUGCGCGAUUGAAUGAGCCGAUGUCGGAUUAGCUAGUUGGCGGGGUAAAGGCCCACCAAGGCGACGAUCCGUAGCUGGUCUGAGAGGAUGAUCGGCCACACGAGAACGGAGACACGGUCCAGACUCCUGCGGGAGGCAGCAGUGGGGAAUGUUGGACAAUGGGCGCAAGCCUGAUCCAGCCAUACCGCGUGGGUGAAGAAGGCCUUCGGGUUGUAAAGCCCUUUUGUUGGGAAAGAAAAGCAGCAGGUUAAUACCCCGCUGUUCUGACGGUACCCAAAGAAUAAGCACCGGCUAACUUCGUG
rnacentral:rRNA from 1 species